GGCUAACUCCGUGCCAGCAGCCGCGGUAAUACGGAGGGUGCGAGCGUUAAUCGGAAUUACUGGGCGUAAAGGGUGCGUAGGUGGUUGAUUAAGUUAUCUGUGAAAUUCCUGGGCUUAACCUGGGACGGUCAGAUAAUACUGGUUGACUCGAGUAUGGGAGAGGGUAGUGGAAUUUCCGGUGUAGCGGUGAAAUGCGUAGAGAUCGGAAGGAACACCAGUGGCGAAGGCGGCUACCUGGCCUAAUACUGACACUGAGGCACGAAAGCGUGGGGAGCAAACAGGAUUAGAUACCCUGGUAGUCCACGCUGUAAACGAUGUCAACUAGCUGUUG
rnacentral:rRNA from 1 species